rnacentral:tRNA from 1 species
GCCCCCGUAGCUCAGCGGACAGAGCAGGUGCCUUCUAAGCACUUGGCCGCAGGUUCGAGUCCUGCCGGGGGCA